rnacentral:rRNA from 1 species
UGCCAGCCGCCGCGGUAAUACGGAAGGUGCGAGCGUUAAUCGGAAUCACUGGGCGUAAAGCGCACGUAGGCGGUUGGGUUAGUCGGAUGUGAAAGCCCUGGGCUCAACCUGGGAAUUGCAUUCGAUACUGCUCGACUAGAGUAUGAGAGAGGGUAGCGGAAUUCCGGGUGUAGCGGUGAAAUGCGUAGAUAUCCGGGGGAACAUCAGUGGCGAAGGCGGCUACCUGGGUCAAUACUGACGCUGAGGUGCGAAAGCGUGGGGAGCAAACAGGAUUAGAUA